CAAACCAACCAUCCAACACACCAGUCGCAAACCAAACCAUCCAACACAGCCAGUGCAAACCAACCAUCCAACGUAGCCAUUUCAUCCAGUGCAACCACACCAUCCUGUACAACACGUCGAUGUCUGGCCAGCAUGCUGAUUGCGAAAGAAGCUCUGAGUCAGCCACAGUCCCCAUCAUGCAUCUCAAAUAUCAGUGUGCCGUUAAUAGUGUAUGAAACGCUGUCUGUCGACACAAAAGAUCUCCGCUUUGAGAGUCAUCUGCAAGUUAUGUUGUCUUGGGAAGACCCUGACUUAUCGUGGGACACAUCAGUCUAUCAUCA